GAUGAACGCUGGCGGCGUGCCUAAUACAUGCAAGUCGAGCGAACAGACGCUGCGCUUGCUCCUCUGACGUUAGCGGCGCACGUGUGAGUAACACGUGGAUAACCUACCUAUAAGACUGGGAUAACUUCGGGACACCGGCGCUAAUACCGUAUAAUAUAUUGAACCGCAUGGUUCAAUAGUGAAAGACGGUUUUGCUGUCACUUAUAGAUGGAUCCCCGCCGCAUUAGAUAGUUGGUAAGGUAACGGCUUACCAAGGCAACGAUGCGUAGCCGACCUGAGAGAGUGAUAGGCCACAUGGGAACGGAGACAGGGUCAAGACGACUAAGGGAGGCAGCAGAAGGGAAUCGGACGCAAUGGGCGAAGGCCUGACGGAGCAAGGCGGCGUGAGAGAUGAAGGUCUUCGGAUCGGAAAACUCUGUUAUGAGGGAAGAACAAAUGUGUAAGGAAAUAUGCAGGGAGUGACGGUACCUAAUCAGAAAGCCACGGCUAACUACGUG
rnacentral:rRNA from 1 species